rnacentral:rRNA from 1 species
AACCUGCCCCAUAGUCUGGGAUACCACUUGGAAACAGGUGCUAAUACCGGAUAAGAAAGCGGAUCGCAUGAUCAGCUUUUAAAAGGCGGCGUAAGCUGUCGCUAUGGGAUGGCCCCGCGGUGCAUUAGCUAGUUGGUAAGGUAAAGGCUUACCAAGGCGAUGAUGCAUAGCCGAGUUGAGAGGGUGAUCGGCCACACUGGGACUGAGACACGGCCCAGACUCCUACGGGAGGCAGCAGCC